AGCUUUUCCCAGCCAAAGGAGAGAAGGGAAGGAUGAGCCCCCAACUUCCUCCUUCCUGGGUGUGGCUUCCUUCACAACCCAGACUCUUGGCAUCCUCUUGUUCACUCCCACCCACCCAGCUUGUUGUCAAACCUUUUCGCUAAUGAAGACAUAAAUAGCUCACAAUGCUUGACAGGAGGCUUCUCUUAGCAGUUCUGUGUUUUCACCUGGACCACACACUAAAACAAAGGACUAACCCAAGGUAUUUGAGGAGGACUGUGAGCUGGGGGAAGAGAGAUGGUUGGACGGUUGGAGCUUUGGAUGAGUUUGGGUUCCUCCAUAAGCCAACUGAUCAGGAAACCAGCCUGCCAGGGUCAGAGAAAGCCGUCAGGCAGAGAAAUGCAGGUGCUGGCGUGUGGAAAUGAGGCUGGAGUCCCUGGCAUGGAAAGGCAAGGGUCUGUGGGCAGGGCACUGGGGUUCUGCUCAACCUGCUACCAGCUCCCUGGGACUCCUCAAAAUCACAGGCCCUGGAGCUAGGAGUUUCGUCUGAAUGGCGUCCUGCUCAGCCUCACGUUCACCAGCAUGUUUUCCCUUUAGGCUCAAAUAGUUAAAAGAACAAAAAGUGAUAUUGCAUCCAAAUUGGGGCACUGUUCAGUGUGUGUGUCUAUGUGUGUCGGGGUGGUGGUGGUUAUGUAACUGUCUUCUAAACACUGGAGAAAAU
rnacentral:lncRNA from 1 species